rnacentral:rRNA from 1 species
AGUGAACGCUGGCGGUAGGCCUAACACAUGCAAGUCGAACGGCAGCACAGUAAGAGCUUGCUCUUACGGGUGGCGAGUGGCGGACGGGUGAGGAAUACAUCGGAAUCUACUUUUUCGUGGGGGAUAACGUAGGGAAACUUACGCUAAUACCGCAUACGCCCUACGGGUGAAAGCAGGGGAUCUUCGGACCUUGCGCGAUUGAAUGAGCCGAUGUCGGAUGAGCUAGUUGGCGGGGUAAAGGCCCACCAAGGCGACGAUCCGUAGCUGGUCUGAGAGGAUGAUCAGCCACACUGGAACUGAGACACGGUCCAUACUCCUACGGGAGGCAGCAGUGGGGAAUAUUGGACAAUGGGCGCAAGCCUGAUCCAGCCAUACCGCGUGGGUGAAGAAGGCCUUCGGGUUGUAAAGCCCUUUUGUUGGGAAAGAAAAGCAGCAGGUUAAUACCCCGCUGUUCUGACGGUACCCAAAGAAUAAGCACCGGCUAACUUCGUG